rnacentral:rRNA from 1 species
GACGUAGGGUCCGAGCGUUGUCCGGAGUUACUGGGCGUAAAGGGCGCGUAGGCGGUUCCAUGCGUCCCACGUGAAAGCCCCUGGCUCAACCAGGGAGGGUCGUGGGAAACGGGGGAACUGGAGGCAGAGAGAGGCUGGUGGAAUUCCCGGAGUAGUGGUGAAAUGCGUAGAUAUCGGGAGGAACAUCAGUGGCGAAGGCGGCUACCUGGCCCAAUACUGACACUCAGGUGCGACAGCGUGGGGAGCAAACAGG